rnacentral:tRNA from 1 species
UGCUCGGUAGCUCAGCGGUAGAGCGAUCGGCUGUUAACCGAUUGGUCGCUGGUUCGAUCCCAGCCCGAGCAGCCA